rnacentral:lncRNA from 1 species
GAAAUGCAGCAUGCUGCUCGACACGAUUAUCGCAUUAUUAACAACUAAGGCUGCUUGUUGAAUGACGAUUCAACCUGAUCUUCGCUGUACGUAUCGUACAACAAUCUACACGAGUUGUUGGCGAAUGCCUAGCUCUGCAACGUCGUAACUAACUGCUAACGUAAAAGUGAACCAGGAAUUUCAUAUCUACACUAUUCAGAUAUGAGCGGAGCAUUUAAUACAAAUAAACCGCAGAUAACAGUGGAAAACACAAAUAAUGGAUACGUAGAGCUAUAUGUAUAAAUAUGUAUAAGCCGACUGGAAUAAUCACCAUAAUUUAUACAUCUCUGGUGAAACAUUUUUACCAUCAAAAUUUCUCAGCGUAACUCUGGAAAGUCUAUUGUUAGUACAAGUUUAUGAAUUGAGGAACCAGAAUCAGAAUCUACGGAGAAAAAUCUCUUUGUUGUUCAAACAAUUAAAAUAAUUUGAUAAGAAUAAUGAUCUUUACGGAAAUCUGAUGGCAAA